CUUAAACUUUUGAGUAUUUUUUGUGGGAGUGACUACAAUGAUAAACAAGAUUUUAGGGCUUUCAUUUCUCUUCAUCUGUGGCUAAAUGCUUUAUCAAAUUUAUAAAUAACAGCUAAUGCCACACAGAGACAUUUUUAAAGGAGUCAUAAAAUGGUUCAGUCCAUUGAGUGAAUACGGACACAAGACCCAGCUGAUACAACAAUAAUGCGACUCCGUCAGAGAGUUCAUUUCUUCUUUCUUGGGAUGUGUGUUGGCUUGUCACUGAGUGGGUAUGUAUAAAUUAUAUUUAAAAUAUGUAGCUGAUUUACUCACACUUUUGGCAU
rnacentral:lncRNA from 1 species